UGCUGGAACUGCUGCCAUUCCCUGCUGUCUCCUCUAUCCUUCCUAUAGUCUUCAGGCUCCUUAGCAAGAGCUGCAGUGGAUGAUACCAAGUGAGGCCCUAAGAGGUGGAGGACCAGAGGAUGGGAUUCCCCUUGUGUUGCUGUGGAAACCGUUGGAAGGGAAGCAGCAAAACCAGGGCUGGCAGGGAGUGCUGGGCGGUGUGCGGGGCGGCUGCAGAGGCAGGGCUGUGCUGACAUCACGUGGGGAGGCGGCGUGGGGAAGGGAGAGCAAGGGAGGCUGCAGAGGGAAGAGAGCUGCAUCCGACUGGGCUCCAGGCAAGACAAGGGUCAUCAGACUGCUCUGCGAUGGGAUAAGAUCCCCAUAGAGAAACCAGGGAAGAAUUCUCUUCCUGUCUUUCCCCUCCUGUUGUGACUGCC
ensembl:lncRNA